rnacentral:misc_RNA from 1 species
CCGAGUUCAUGCCCUCACGGGUAGAUCUCCCACCCUAUGUUAUCAUUACCUUCGUUGCUUUGGCGGGCCGUCAGGCUUCGGCUAGGCUAUCGGCUCCGGCUGGUAAGCGCCCGCCAGAGGACCCUAAACUCUGAAUGUUAGUGUCGUCUGAGUACUAUCUAAUAGUUA